AUUGAACGCUGGCGGCAGGCUUAACACAUGCAAGUCGAGCGGAGAUGAGGUGCUUGCACCUUAUCUUAGCGGCGGACGGGUGAGUAAUGCCUAGGAAUCUGCCUGUUAGUGGGGGAUAACGCGGGGAAACUCGCGCUAAUACCGCAUACGUCCUACGGGAGAAAGCGGGGGCUCUUCGGACCUCGCGCUAACAGAUGAGCCUAGGUCGGAUUAGCUAGUUGGUGGGGUAAUGGCCCACCAAGGCGACGAUCCGUAACUGGUCUGAGAGGAUGAUAAGACACAAUGGAACUGAGACACGGUCCAGACUCCGACGGGAGGAAGAAGUGGGGAAUAUUGGACAAUGGGCGAAAGCCUGAUCCAGCCAUGCCGCGUGUGUGAAGAAGGUCUUCGGAUUGUAAAGCACUUUAAGUCGGGAGGAAGGGCUGUAGGCUAAUACCUUGCAGUUUUGACGUUACCGACAGAAUAAGCACCGGCUAACUUCGUGCCAGCCGCCGCGGUAAUAC
rnacentral:rRNA from 1 species